AUGAACGCUGGCGGUAUGCUUAACACAUGCAAGUCGAACGGACUCUUCGGAGUUAGUGGCGGACGGGUGAGUAACGCGUGAGAAUCUGGCUUUGGGUUCGGGACAACCACUGGAAACGGUGGCUAAUACCGGAUGUGCCGAGAGGUAAAAGAGAAAUUGCCUGAAGAUGAGCUCGCGUCUGAUUAGCUAGUUGGUGAGGUAAAGGCUCACCAAGGCAGCGAUCAGUAGCUGGUCUGAGAGGAUGACCAGCCACACUGGGACUGAGACACGGCCCAGACUCCUACGGGAGGCAGCAGUGGGGAAUUUUCCGCAAUGGGCGAAAGCCUGACGGAGCAAUACCGCGUGAGGGAAGAAGGCUCUUGGGUUGUAAACCUCUUUUCUUAGGGAAGAACAAAAUGACGGUACCUAGGGAAUCAGCAUCGGCUAACUCCGUG
rnacentral:rRNA from 1 species